AUUGAACGCUGGCGGCAGGCCUAACACAUGCAAGUCGAGCGGAUGAAGGGAGCUUGCUCCUGGAUUCAGCGGCGGACGGGUGAGUAAUGCCUAGGAAUCUGCCUGGUAGUGGGGGAUAACGUCCGGAAACGGGCGCUAAUACCGCAUACGUCCUGAGGGAGAAAGUGGGGGAUCUUCGGACUUCACGCUAUCAGAUGAGCCUAGGUCGGAUUAGCUAGUUGGUGGGGUAAAGGCCUACCAAGGCGACGAUCCGUAACUUGUCUGAGAGGAUGAUCAGUCACACUAGGUCUGAGACACGGUCCAGACUCCUACUGGAGGCAGCAGUGGCGAAUAUUUGGCAAUGGACGAAAGCCUUAUCCAGGCGUGCCGCGUGUGUGAAGAAGGUCUUCGGAUUGUAAAGCACUUUAAGUUGUGGGGAAGGGCAGUAAGUUAAUACCUUGCUGUUUUGACGUUACCAACAGAAUAAGCACCGGCUAACUUCGUG
rnacentral:rRNA from 1 species